rnacentral:lncRNA from 1 species
UUUCCUCUUCCUGUCGGUCAUGUCCAGCCUGUGAAGAGCACGCUGGCUGAGCUGGCGAGAGGGGUGGGGGUGUCGCGGGGCUGCUUCUGCUCUGAUGAAGGCACCCACUGUCACUGUCCCGGCCCUUGCUGAGUGUCCCCGGACCCGUGGGCCUGUGUCUAUGCCAGGCCUCGGGGAGUCCUCCAGCCUUGGAGCCUCUUCCCUUUCUCAGUCCUCAGUGCAACGAGGAAAUCGGGAUUCACGUCUGCAAUACAAAGGGGAGACCCCUAGGAGCUCGGGGACUGCGGAGGCCCCUAGGCCCAGCAUGGGGCAUCCAGAGUUGUUGUCUUGUGGACCAAGACAGCCCACAGCCCAUGGCAGCUUCCAGAGCCAGAAGAACAGGAGUCAUCUCUGAAGAGCCCUGGGCUACCUCCUUGCUGAUCUCAUUGGCCAGAACUUUCUGGCUCUCAUGCUCACCACAGGGCCAAUCACUAGCAAGAUAAAAAAAGGAGCACCCCGAAGGGUCGAGACCAGCUGUGCUCUGGGCAGGGGAGGGGCUG